GGCCUGGUGGUCUAGUAGUAUGAUUCCUUCUUAGGGUAUCCUCAAUGUAUACUUUGUUUGGAGGAGGUCCCGGGUUCAAUUCCCGGCCAGGCCC